GACGAACGCUGGCGGCGUGCUUAACACAUGCAAGUCGAACGCGCCUGUCCUCUGGGUUUCUGGGGGGUGGGUGAGUGGCGAACGGGUGAGUAACACGUGAGUAACCUGCCCCCUUCUUCGGGAUAACGGUCUGAAAGGGCUGCUAAUACCGGGUAUUCACUGGUCUCCGCAUGGGGUCUGGUGGAAAGGUUUUUUUCUGGUGGGGGAUGGGCUCGCGGCCUAUCAGCUUGUUGGUGGGGUGAUGGCCCACCAAGGCUUUGACGGGUAGCCGGCCUGAGAGGGUGACCGGCAACAUUGGGACUGAGAUACGGCCCAGACUCCUACGGGAGGCAGCAGUGGGGAAUAUUGCACAAUGGGCGCAAGCCUGAUGCAGCGACGCCGCGUGAGGGAUGGAGGCCUUCGGGUUGUGAACCUCUUUCGCCCGUGGUCAAGCCGCGACGUGGGUCGUGGUGAGGGUAGUGGGUAAAGAAGCGCCGGCUAACUACGUG
rnacentral:rRNA from 1 species